AUUGAACGCUGGCGGCAGGCUUAACACAUGCAAGUCGAACGAGUGGCGGACGGGUGAGUAAUGCUUGGGAAACUUGCUUAUGGAGGGGGAUAACUACGGGAAACUGUAGCUUAUACCGCCUACCCUAGUAUUAGCCCAAGUGGGAUUAGGUAGUGGGGGAGGGAAAGGCUCACAAAGCCGACGAUCUCUCGCUGGUCUGAGAGGAUGACCAGCCACACUGGGACUGAGACACGGCCAAGACUCCUACGGGAGGCAGCAGUGGGGAAUAUUGCGCAAUGGGGGCAACCUGACGCAGCCAUGCCGCGUGAAUGAAGAAGGCCUUCGGGUUGUAAAGUUCUUUCGGUAGCGAGGCGUUAACUACAGAAGAAGCACCGGCUAACUCCGUGCCAGCAGCCGCGGUAAUUC
rnacentral:rRNA from 1 species